rnacentral:tRNA from 1 species
GAGGGUAUAGCUCAGUGGUAGAGUGUGUGCUUAGUAUGCAUGAGGUCUUGGGUCUGAUCCCCAGUACUUCCA